rnacentral:rRNA from 1 species
UACGUAGGGUGCGAGCGUUAAUCGGAAUCACUGGGCGUAAAGGGCGCGUAGGCGGCUUUAUAAGUCGGGGGUGAAAGCCUGUGGCUCAACCACAGAAUUGCCUUCGAUACUGUAUGGCUUGAGACCGGAAGAGGUAAGUGGAACUGCGAGUGUAGAGGUGAAAUUCGUAGAUAUUCGCAAGAACACCAGUGGCGAAGGCGGCUUACUGGUCCGGUUCUGACGCUGAGGCGCGAAAGCGUGGGGAGCAAACAGG